ensembl:lncRNA
CACCUAGAAAGGUCUCUAGUACCCUAGGGAGAUUCUGUGAAUAUUUAUAAAAGAGGUAAUGUCAGUUUAUCUAACAAAACCUAAAUCCGAGUGUCCUAAAGGAGUGGAGCCUCUCUGUGUGUACUGGGAGUGAGUAACGAGGAGACAGGUGAUGAUUCAAAGUCAAGCAAACCCACUUUCUCCUGGUGGUCAGUGCUGAGUAAGCAUGCUCCAGCCCCCUCCCACUGCUCUCCUGUUUAGUUAGAGGCUCCCAAAGAGGGCCAACAGCUGCGAGGCUCUUCAUUAGAGCCUUGAAAUUUGAAACAACAGAUCAAAGUCUGAGGAGCCAUAUUGAGCUGUGGGGAACGCUUGCUCGCUGACUGAGGUCAGGAAAGGUCCAAACCCCUAGCAUUCCAGGGCUUUGGGCUAGUCCCCUGCCACUGUGGAGGAGGGGGCUGCAGCCGUGGGUGCGAGGCCACACGAGGUGCGUGGCAGAGUCGUGGAACCAAAGAGGGCUGUGUCCAGAGAGGAUAACAGUGACAAAUAUUUUUGCUGGCUGCAUUAAAGAAGAUACCGAAGAACAUCAUCCAAGAGGUUCUUUUGAACACUGUGAGAAAACUGAAGUGUCUGAAAGCAUGACUGACUGAAGCAGUGGCGAGAAGAAGGCAUCUAUGUUUUUGUAACUGCUGAUGGCCAUGACUCCAUACUGUCAAAAGGGGAUCUUCCCAACCCAGGGAUUGAAGCCAAGUCUCCUGCAUCUCCUGCAGUGGCAGGUGGAUUCGUCACCACUGCUCCACCUGGGAAGCCCUUCUGCUUCACAGACAGGUUCAUUGGUCAUAUUUUAGAUUGCUCAAAACAUGAACAAGGCUUCCUAAGGCCCACCUGACUUCACACUCCAGAAUGUCUGGCUCUAGGGUUGACUCUUGGGACUUCAUGGACUGUGGCCCGCCAGGCUCCUCUGUCCAUGGGAUUCUCCAGGCAAGAAUACUGGAGUGGGUUGCCAUUCCCUUUUCCAGAGGAUCUUCCUGACCCAGGGAUUCGACUGUGGUCUCCUGCAUUGCAGGAGGACUCUUUACCAUUUGAACCACCAGGGAAGUCGCACUGGUUUCUCUGGAGUAAACCAAGCCCUCUUGUGUCACAGGACUUGAGCAACUGCUGUUCCUUUUGACCCAAAUGUUCCUUCAGCAAUGUCAAUAGCUGGCUCCUCCUUCUUUUUAAAUGUAUUUAUUUACUUAGCUGAGUUGAGUCUUAGUUGUGGCAUAUGGGAUCUAGUUUCUGACCAGGGACUGAACUCAGGCCGCCUACAUUAGGAGUUUGGAGUCCCAGCCACUGGGUCACCAGGG